CCGGGCCGGGCCGGGGCGGGCGGGCCCGGGAAGGGCGCGGGCAGCGCCGAGCUCCCGGCAGGGCGAGCCCCGCAGCGGGGCAGGGCCGGCGGCGGGGGAGGCCGGGGGCAAAGGCCGGGGCCGGCGGCACGACAGCCUCGGACCUGCCCCUGCCCGGCCGGGACAGGGACCUUGCACCCGGAGCGGCAGGAGCGGGCGGGGCGGGGCGGGGCUGUGUGGACAGGGGUGCCCGGGGCUGGGCAGGGCAAUGCCCGUGUGCGCGGGGGUCGCCCUCAGUCCGUGUUGUUCCCCGGCAAGUGCAGCAUGGUCCGGAGCUGGUGCAGACGCCGCCCCGACAGAGCUGGUCGGGACCGCGGGGGAGACGCUCACGUUUCCUCUCGAGAUCCCGGCAGGGGAGACAUUAGAUACUGCUGUCUGGACGAUUGGCACAGAGAGUUUAGCAACGGUGCUACCAGGAGACCCCGCGAGUGUCCUUGUCACAGACAGACGCUAUAGGGGCCGCCUGCGUGUCCCCAACGCCGGCCUCGCACUGCACAUCACCGACCUGAGGCCGGAGGACGCGGGGUCCUACACAGCUAGAGCCAACACGGAUAAAAUCAUAUUUACCAGCCAUUUCACACUGCAUGGCUAUGAGCGGGUGCCUCAGCCCACGAUUCACUGCAGUGCCCACAACUGUAGAAAUGGAGCCUGUAACAUCGCCCUGAGCUGCACCAUCCCCAGUGGAGACAACAACAUGAUCUACAGCUGCAGCACCCCGGAGCACCCCAGUAUAACCGCUUAAGGAUCCAUCAUGAAAAUCUCUCACCCAGAUCUUCUGAUAAACGUCACCUGCACAGUGCAAAACUCCACCAGCAACAGCUCUACAACAGCCUCUCAAGGCCCUUUGUGCAGAUAACAUGCCCUGUGGGGAAGCUCUGCACAGCCCACACGUGGGGAGAACAGGUAUCGGGGUGCCAGGUUUGUCCCUACGAGGCACCCGACUCUAGAUGCUGCCCCUUCCCCUCUCCAAAUCCCUGCCCUGUAGAUUCCACCCCCCUCCCCAAGUCCAUUUCCUGUGACCCUGCUACCCAGGGAGCCACAUGCACCAUCUCUGUGCAGGAGGGCCGAGCCCCCAAGCUCCCUGCAGGGCUCCUCCUCCCCAUGGAAGGACCCCAGGGUCUGUCCCCAUCCCCACUGCCCCUCAAGGCAAACACCGUGGAGCAUCACCAGCCACUUCCCCCUGGCUCUUACCCACUGCCUUGCUCUAUUUCCAGCCUCAUCACUGCUCACUCUGGAAGGGAAGGACUGGGCAAGGCUGCAGCACGGAGGAGAAACAGCUGGUGGGUCUGCAGGGGUCUAAGUCCCAGUGCCGAAGGCCAGUCCCUGAUGCAGCGCCCUGGCACUGCAGGCCCAUGGGCACCCUGGAGCAGAGGGUCCCCCCUACAGGUGUAUCCUCCCCUUUCUAGCAUGGCCAGCAGACCCCAGCCCACAGUGUGCAGGGCAGGGACCAGCCAGGCAGAGGGACCCACAGAGACAGGAAGUACAAAACCCCCUUGUUCCAAGGGGAACUUCAGCUUCUAAAUAAACCUUCCCUCCUCUGCACCAUCUGUGUCUCUGAGCCCUGCCAGGGGCAAUCUUCCCUCACAUCCCCUCAAGAGCCCCAUCAGGCUAUAUCACAGUCCUGAGGGCAUGCUCCACCAUCACAAUUGCCCAUGCCAAGGACCUCCACUGCCAGGCCAUUGCCCAAGGACCCUGCCAUUGACCUGUUGCAGCAAGUGCAGCCCAGUCAUGGCAGAGGGGAGUUCCCAGCCCACUUUGCCACCUGCCCCAGCACUUCUGCCCCUGCUUGGAUGCCAGCCCUGGGAUGCCUACCCUGGACCCUGCUCCUUCUCCGCCAUUCAAGCCUCCACACUGCCCUGCUGCUCUUGCUCACCCUGCUGCCCCUGCAGACACCAUCCUGGCACCCAAGGGGAGGCUUUAUAUGGGCAUGGACCAAGGAACAGGGACCUUGCAGGGUGCUGCUCCCCAUCCCUGGACACUUGUGUCACCAGGGACACUGCUGUCCCUAAGCUGGGGCCAGCUCCAAGUAAGGAGCACUGAUGCCAUAGGCGAUGCAUAGGGAGGGUAUGUGGGGGCAUGUGCACCCCCUAAGAUUGACCACUGCUGACACUGCCACUCCCCCCCGCCCCUUCUAACCACCAACACUGUCGCGGCCACCUGCGGGUGUUCCCCACUUGGCCCACUCUCGCUGCCGUUGUCACCGCAGCCACCUCUGGGCGGUCCCCACUUGCCGCUACCACACUUGUUCCCAGGAGGAGGAAGGCUCCAGCCUCAUGCUCCUCCUGCUUCUGCCUGGCACUUGGAUGAUGACCCUGGGAGCCAAGGGUCCUGCAGCAGUCAUGUCUCCUGGAGACCAAGAGUGCAUCAGCACUGUGUGAGGCCUGUCUCCACCUGAGCUUCCCCUCACUUACCACACCUCCACUCCAUCUCUCUGCUGUUAUCUCCUGCUAAAGAGGUGAGAAAAUUGGUAUGAAGUUUUCUCCCCUUCAGCUUCACACAUCUCUGGGUGCUGCUGUGAGCACUCUGCACCCUGUAUGGCCAGUACCCAACUGCAAAAGAGAAGGAACAUGAGGCAGGAAGCACGCAGCCGCUGCGCUGGCAGUCUACAGUGCAGGAGAUGCUUCUCAGCCAUGACUCUGCAAGUUCCCACCGUACCAGGGCAGGGGCAGGGCCCCCACCCUGAGAAGCAGCUGAUUUCAGACCCAUUCUGCCUUGCUACCACAUCCCUUGGGUUCACUCAGAUUUGCUUCAGUACUGGAUGCCUUCACUGUUCCUGGCAAGGGCAUCUGCAUGGGUCAGUCACGGGGGCAAUUCUUCAUUCUAGUAAUGUUCUCCCUGUUGGAUACACCCGGGGAAGUCAGCCUGGUUCCUCCUAACGCAUGUCUCCAUCUGGCUCCUUCCAGCCUCGCUCCCUGCUGCCUGCUCGCCCUUCAGAUGCCUGCUGUGAUGGAGGAAGCUCUCUGUCCCGUUCUGCUGUGUCUCCUCCUGAGUUUCCAAAAUCAGGAGCAGGGGGCUGGACCCGAUGAUCCCAGGAGGUCCCUUCCAGCCCUAAACUUGGGUGAAUCUCAGAAGGUUAAAACCCAGAUACAUGCCACUGAGCUGGGUGACUAUGGGUCCUGGGCUGGGUGACUUAUUUAAAUCAGGCUGUGAAGAAAUGGCUCUCUUUGUCUGCUUUCCUGCACUGAGUAUGCCUAGCCCCCUCUGCCCCGAAAUCUGGGUGCUGUUUCCACCUGGUCACUUGGACAGCCGUGUGACCUGGGCUGGAGAAAUUCCUGAGGGAGUGGGAGAGCUUGUUCUUCUGUUGUCCUGUGUAACCCUGAACCCUCUCCUGAGGGUGCUGAUGUUUUUCAAACUGGCCAGCUGGCAUUAGCCGUGGUCAGAGCAUACUGGGUUAUGGCUGGAACUUAAUGAUGAGGUAAUAAAAGCUCUAAAAGAGAGUCACUCCAUUUUGAGAGACACACAUCUGGUCCCUGAAUCAAGCUAUGGGCCUCCAGACUCUUCUGGAUGUAGAUGUGAGUAACGUAUCUGAAAUCUAGCUAGGAAUUUAGAGUUAAGUGUUUAUUUGCGUAUCAAAAGGCAACAAGCCUAUACUGUUUUGCUCAAGGUUGGUUUUCUUUCUAUAUUCCGCUGUUUUGUAUUCUUUCCUCACCCUAUCCCUCUUUGAUCAAUAAAUCUAUCUGUUUCAGCAUGCCAUUCUUUGUGUGCUUAAGAGGGAAGGGACCAGCCUAGUUAGCUCACUUUACUAGGCUGGCUAAGGUGGGCUCGGCUUCUUACUUUCUUCCUGUACUGCAGGCUGCUUGUGAAUUCUUUAGGCUAAUAGAAGCACC